rnacentral:tRNA from 1 species
GCCUGGGUGGCUCAGUGGUUGAGUGUCUGCCUUCAGCUCAGGUCAUGAUCCCAGAGUCCUGGGAUCGAGUCCCACAUCAGGCU